rnacentral:tRNA from 1 species
UUCCUGAUGGCUCAGAUGGUAAAGAAUCUGCCUGCAAUGCAGGAGACCUGGGUUCAACUCCUGGGUUGGAAA